rnacentral:ncRNA from 2 species
GAUCAAUUGCCAACACUUACCACUUAGUUUUGUUUGCAACUCCUCUUUCCCAAUGAGAAAACAGAGCACCUACCAUUUUACCAUUACCAGCUUUUAUCAUGCUUUUUAUUUUAACACGUUAACCACAUUUAUAAUUCUAGAGCUAAUACGUGCAACAAACCCCGACUUCUGGGAGGGGCGCAUUUAUUAGAUAAAAGGCUGACACGGGCUCUGCUCGCUGAUCCGAUGAUUCAUGAUAACUCGACGGAUCGCACGGCCUUCGUGCCGGCGAUGCGUCAUUCAAAUUUCUGCCCUAUCAACUUUCGAUGGUAGGAUAGGGGCCUACCAUGGUGGUGACGGGUGACGGAGAAUUAGGGUUCGAUUUCGGAGAGGGAGCCUGAGAAACGGCUACCACAUCCAAGAAAGGCAGCAGGCACGCAAAUUACCCAAUCCUGACACGGGAAGGUAGUGACAAUAAAUAAUAAUACCGGACGCAUUAGUGUCUGGUAAUUGGAAUGAGUACAAUCUAAAUCCCUUAACGAGGAUCCAUUGGAUGGCAAGUCUGGUGCCAGCAGCCGUGGUAAUUCCAGCUCCAAUAGCGUAUAUUUAAGUUGUUGAAGUUAAAAAGCUCGUAGUUGGACCAUGGGCCAGGUCGGCCGGUCCGCCUCACGGCAAGCACCGACCUACUCGACCCUUCGGCCGGCAUCACGCUCCUAGCCUUAAUUGGUCGGGUCAUGUUUCCGGCAUCAUUACUUUGAAGAAAUUAGAGUGAUCAAAGCAAGCCAUCGCUCUGGAUACAUCAGCAUGGGAUAACAUCAUAGGAUUCCAGUCCUAUUGUGUUGGCCUUCGAGAUAGGAGUAAUGAUUAAUAGGGACAGUCGGGGCAUUCGUAUUUCAUAGUCAGAGGUGAAAUUCUUGGAUUUAUGAAAGGCGAACAACUGCGAAAGCAUUUGCCAAGGAUGUUUUCGUUAAUCAAGAACAACAGUUGUGGGCUCGAAGACGAUCAGAUACCGUCCUAGUCUCAAGCAUAAACGAUGGCGACCAGGGAUCGGCGGAUGUAGCUUAUAGGACUCCGCCGACACCUUAUGAGAAAUCAAAGUUUUUGGGCUCCG